rnacentral:rRNA from 1 species
AACGAACGCUGGCGGCAGGCUUAACACAUGCAAGUCGAGCGCCCCGCAAGGGGAGCGGCAGACGGGUGAGUAACGCGUGGGAAUCUACCGAGCCCUGCGGAAUAGCUCCGGGAAACUGGAAUUAAUACCGCAUACGCCCUACGGGGGAAAGAUUUAUCGGGGUUUGAUGAGCCCGCGUUGGAUUAGCUAGUUGGUGGGGUAAUGGCCUACCAAGGCGACGAUCCAUAGCCGGUCUGAGAGGAUGAUCAGCCACAUUGGGACUGAGACACGGCCCAAACGCCUACGGGAGGCAGCAGUGGGGAAUAUUGGACAAUGGGGGCAACCCUGAUCCAGCCAUGCCGCGUGAGUGAUGAAGGCCUUAGGGUUGUAAAGCUCUUUCACCGGUGAAGAUAAUGACGGUAACCGGAGAAGAAGCCCCGGCUAACUUCGUGCCAGCCGCCGCGGUAAAAC